GACGAACCGUGCGAACGUUAUUCGGAAUCACUGGGCUUAAAGCGCGUGUAGGCGGGCCGGCACGUCCGGUGCUGAAAUCCCCCGGCUCAACCGGGGAAUGGGCACGGAUACGACCGGCCUGGAGGGGGGUAGGGGGCGCCGGAACGGCCGGUGGAGCGGUGAAAUGCGUUGAGAUCGGCCGGAACGCCCGUGGCGAAAGCGGGCGCCUGGACCCCGCCUGACGCUGAGACGCGAAAGCCAGGGGAGCGAACGGG
rnacentral:rRNA from 1 species